ACCAGACUCCUACGGGAGGCAGCAGUGAGGAAUAUUGGUCAAUGGUCGGGAGACUGAACCAGCCAAGCCGCGUGAGGGAAGACUGCCCUAUGGGUUGUAAACCUCUUUUGUCAGGGAGCAACGCCGGCUACGUGUAGCCGGACUGAGAGUACCUGAAGAAAAAGCAUCGGCUAACUCCGUGCCAGCAGCCGCGGUAAUACGUAGGGUGCGAGCGUUAAUCGGAAUUACUGGGCGUAAAGGGUGUGCAGGCGGUUUUGCAAGAUGGAUGUGAAAGCCCCGGGCUUAACCUGGGAAAGCCAUACAUGACUGCAAGACUAGAGUGCGUCAGAGGGGGGUGGAAUUCCAAGUGUAGCAGUGAAAUGCGUAGAUAUUUGGAAGAACACCGAUGGCGAAGGCAGCCCCCUGGGACGCAACUGACGCUCAUACACGAAAGCGUGGGGAGCAAACAGGAUUAGAUACCCUAGUA
rnacentral:rRNA from 1 species